rnacentral:rRNA from 1 species
AUUGAACGCUGGCGGCAGGCCUAAAACAUGCAAGUCGAACGAGUGGCGGACGGGUGAGUAAUGUCUGGGAAAAUGCCUGAUGGAGGGGGAUAAAUACUGGAAACGGUAGCUAAUACCGCAUACCAUCGGAUGUGCCAAGAUGGGAUUAGCUAGUAGGUGGGGUAACGGCUAACCUAGGCGACGAUACCUAGCGGGUCUGAGAGGAUUACCAGCCACAGUGGCACUGAGACACGGACCAGACUCCUACGGGAGGCAGCAGUAGGGAAUAUUGCCCAAUGGGCGCAAGCCUGAUGCAGCCAUGCCGCGUGUAUGAAGAAGGCUUUCGGGUUGUAAAGUCCUUUCGGCAGGGAGGCGUUACCCGCAGAAGAAGCACCGGCUAACUCCGUGCCAGCAGCCGCGGUAAUUC